GCUGGGCGUGGUGGCUCACGCCUGUAAUCCCAGCACUUUGGAGGCUGAGGCGGGUGGAUCACCUGAGCUCAGGAGUUCGAGACCAGCCUGACCAUCAUGGUGAAACCCUGUCUCUA
rnacentral:SRP_RNA from 1 species